rnacentral:misc_RNA from 1 species
AAAGUCGUAACAAGGUCUCCGUUGGUGAACCAGCGGAGGGAUCAUUACUGAGUUGAAAAACUCCCCAAACCCAUUGUUUAUCUAUCCAAAGAACGUCUGCUUCGGUGGGCGGCCCCAGGGCGGGGCCUCCGUGGGCGCUUCGGGCGUCGACGCCCGCCGAAGGAGACACCCCAAACUCUUGCUGUUGUGGUAUAUCUGAGCGCAAAGACAAAUUGUCAAAACUUUCAACAACGGAUCUCUUGGUUCUG